rnacentral:rRNA from 1 species
UACGAAGGGUGCAAACGUUGCUCGGAAUUAUUGGGCGUAAAGCGCACGUAGGCGGCUUAGCAAGUCGGAUGUGAAAUCCCUCGGCUCAACUGGGGAGGGUCACGCGAUACUGAUCGACUGGAAGGCAGGAGAGGGUAGUGGAAUUCCCGGUGUAGUGGUGAAAUGCGUAGAUAUCGGGAGGAACACCAGUGGCGAAGGCGACUACCUGGCCUGUUCUUGACGCUGAGGCGCGAAAGCUAGGGGAGCAAACGGG